AAAUGGUAAUAUUAAGGAGGAAAUUUAUUAGGUUAGCUUAAAUUUUGGAAAAAGCAUGGCUCUCUGUUCCUCCUGUUUGCCCGGGUCCCGAACGGAUGUCGUCAGGGCUGGCAAGGAAACGGCGAGGCACAAUGACGUCACAGAGAUAUAGAGUUUAAUUCAAUAGAAAACACCGUAUGAAUUUAACAAGAAACUUCAGAGUACACAGAAGUACAUUCUUUACCUGAGACAAAAGAAUUAAAAGAAAAAAGAACAAAGGCGCCUUUGGAGACAGCUGAUGCUUAAAAGCAAAACAGGGCAGUUGUCUGAAUUCUUAUUAUUGAGCAUUCCCUUUUCUAGUGAAGGCGUUUCUCUUUGUUAAUAUAUGCAAAUAGGGCGUACCCCUGUUUUGACCAACCAAGAGCUACCUUGAAAAAACUUAAACCUUCCCCUGAGUUUUAAUGACAAAUAUCAAGAGUCAUUUUAAUUAUUAAAGUUAUAAGUUAUUUUCACAAAACCUAUCUUGCUCCUCUGCAGUCAGCUUCUCCAAAGAUUUGAAUCUUUACUUUAUCACAAACAAUAAUGAGAUAGAAGUCUUUUCCAACCUGUAAAACAUAACAUUCAAACCAUUACCUUUUGAUUCCGAUAUUGUCAUAGUUAGUACAUUUUCAAAUACAUUCUAUUUACUAGAUUAGUACUUGUAGCUUUGGUAAUAUACUUUAAUCUAACACACUAUUGCUAUUAAUAUUAAGAAGGUAUAUCAGAAAUUAAACCUAAGUGUUUCCAAGAUUCCUAAGUUGUGACCAACUCCUGAUGCAACUCUACGCUCCUGGGAAAACCUCGACCUCUGACCUGUGAGCCGGGGAAGAUAUUCUUUAUGGCCUACUAAUUUAAAGCCUUUCAGGAGCAUGUUGUUUUAUGGCUGCUUUAAGUUACAGCCUUGCCAGGAGAAUGUUUAUCUAGGAAUGUUGAUCUACUUAAACACACAUGGCAUUAGCUUAACUAUAUUAAACAAUCAAAAAUAGCCAUAUUUCCUUAACACUAGCUACUUCAUCAAGCAUGGCU